rnacentral:piRNA from 1 species
UGAGGGCAAAAUGUCCAGGGUGAAUGGAGU